CAGAAGUAACUAAAAAUGGAUUGAGAACCUGAAACUGAACGAAAUUGCCAAGCAGCAGCAGUGAAGAUGUAGUUUGGACUUUCUGGAGUGACCAGCUGCCAAGAGCCAAACUGAUGAAGGAGUAGAAGGCAGAGACACAGGAAGGACACCAUGUGGUGGCAGAGGUGACGAUAGGAGUGAUACAGCUGCAAAGCAAGGAUGCCAAGGACCAGCAGCCACCAUUAGGAGCUAGCAGAGGCAAGAAAGGAUUCUACCCAGAGUCUC